GGGCCCGCACAAGCGGUGGAGUAUGUGGUUUAAUUCGAUGCAACGCGAAGAACCUUACCAGGGUUUGACAUCCUGCGAAUCUCUUGGAAACGAGAGAGUGCCUUCGGGAACGCAGUGACAGGUGGUGCAUGGCUGUCGUCAGCUCGUGUCGUGAGAUGUUGGGUUAAGUCCCGCAACGAGCGCAACCCACGUCUUUAGUUGCCAUCAUUUAGUUGGGCACUCUAAAGAGACUGCCGGUGAUAAGCCGGAGGAAGGUGGGGACGACGUCAAGUCCUCAUGGCCCUUACGGGAUGGGCUACACACGUGCUACAAUGGAGGGUACAGAGGGUCGCGAAGCCGCGAGGUGGAGCCAAUCUCAUAAAGCCCUUCCCAGUUCGGAUUGGAGUCUGCAACUCGACUCCAUGAAGUUGGAAUCGCUAGUAAUCGC
rnacentral:rRNA from 1 species